rnacentral:rRNA from 1 species
GAUGAACGCUGGCGGCGUGCCUAAUACAUGCAAGUCGAGCGAACAGACGAGGAGCUUGCUCCUCUGACGUUAGCGGCGGACGGGUGAGUAACACGUGGAUAACCUACCUAUAAGACUGGGAUAACUUCGGGAAACCGGAGCUAAUACCGGAUAAUAUAUUGAACCGCAUGGUUCAAUAGUGAAAGACGGUUUUGCUGUCACUUAUAGAUGGAUUCGCGCCGCAUUAGCUAGUUGGUAAGGUAACGGCUUACCAAGGCAACGAUGCGUAGCCGACCUGAGAGGGUGAUAGGCCACACUGGAACUUAGACACGGUCCAGACUCCUAAGGGAGGCAGCAGUAGGGAAUCUUCCGCAAUGGGCGAAAGCCUGACGGAACAACGCCGCGUGAGUGAUGAAGGUCUUCGGAUCGUAAAACUCUGUUAUUAGGUAAGAACAAAUGUGUAAGUAACUAUGCACGUCUUGACGGUACCUAAUCAGAAAGCCACGGCUAACUACGUG